CGUAAAGCAGGUGAUUCACCAAUUUAGGUUUACAUCCACAGUGUGGAAGACACUGAAGGACCUAAACUAACAAAGGUAAACGGCUCAGUGUGCGGGGUAUUACACUCGGUUUAAUGUCUGAAUGCGAUAAUCCGCACGAUGAUCUCUUUAUCUUUGUUUGUUUAGGUCCCUUAGUUUCUUCUAUACCGUGAAUCCAAUCCUGUAUUGGAUGAGCUGGUUUAUGACC